GGAGAUUGGCGGUGGACGAGCCACUCGCCAACCGGGUCAGGUCCGGAAGGAAGCAGCCCUAACGAGG
rnacentral:SRP_RNA from 1 species